UACGUAGGCAGCAAGCGUUGUUCGGAGUUACUGGGCGUAAAGGGUGUGUAGGCGGUUGUUUAAGUUUGGUGUGAAAUCUCCCGGCUCAACUGGGAGGGUGCGCCGAAUACUGAAUGACUUCGAGUGCGGGAGAGGAGAGUGGAAUUCCUGGUGUAGCGGUGAAAUGCGUAGAUAUCUGGAGGAACACCGGUGGCGAAGGCGGCAUCCUGGACCGACACUGACGCUGAGGAGCGAAAGCCAGGGGAGCAAACGGG
rnacentral:rRNA from 1 species